rnacentral:tRNA from 3 species
GGGCCCAUAGCUCAGUUGGUUAGAGCAGAGGACUCAUAAUCCUUUGGUCCCAGGUUCAAGUCCUGGUGGGCCCA